rnacentral:rRNA from 1 species
UACGUAGGGUGCAAGCGUUGUCCGGAAUUAUUGGGCGUAAAGAGCUCGUAGGCGGUUUGUCGCGUCUGCCGUGAAAGUCCGGGGCUCAACUCCGGAUCUGCGGUGGGUACGGGGCAGACUAGAGGUGAUGUAGGGGAGACUGGAAUUCCUGGUGUAGCGGUGAAAUGCGCAGAUAUCAGGAGGAACACCGGUGGCGAAGGCGGGUCUCUGGGCCGUAACUGACGCUGAGGAGCGAAAGCAUGGGGAGCGAACAGG